rnacentral:misc_RNA from 1 species
AAGUCGUAACAAGGUUUCCGUAGGUGAACCUGCGGAAGGAUCAUUAAAAAAAUGAUGAAUGUCGGAGGGCGUUCAAAGUUUCUUACUUGUCGCUCUCCGUGUAUUCAACCAACCCGCUCUUGUAUUUGGAUCAACCGAAAAUUAACAAAAAUACUUGUAAUAAAAAUAAACUUUCAACAACGGAUCUCUUGGUUCUG